rnacentral:lncRNA from 1 species
UCCCACGAGUUAGAUUUACCUACUUCAAUGGAAGAAAUCCAUCCGUUUUUCCAUGUUUCCACGGUAUAUGAGUUUGUGUCGGGUCCGAGUGAGGUUCUUGAAGGAACCAGAGGUGGAGAUCGCAGAGGAUCUCACCUAUGUUGAGCAGCUAGUACAGACCGCAGACACGCGCGUUAGAAAGUGUGGAAACAAGGAAAUCCCGAUGGUGAAAGUCCCUUAGAAUCACCUUAAGAUGAAAAGUGCAUCAGGGAGACCGAGAGUUCAUACUCCAGUGACACCGUGUUUCUUUUUAGAUUAGAACUUAUGUGUUGUUAUGAUUGUAUGUUAUGUUUCAUGUUAUGCAUGUCCUAGUUGAGGAACAUUCGGGGACGAAUGUUCUUAAGGGGGGGAGAAUGUAAUACCCGGCUAGACUCCGGUAUCGGAAUUCCU